rnacentral:lncRNA from 1 species
UUUAAACAUAAAAUUAAUGGUUUCAAUGUUUAUUCUGUUUAAAAAAAAAUAAAAAAAUUAAAGGAGGAAAUUGGAAACAACGUAACAGAUGCUUCAAUCGUCCUCGUUCUCUCCCAAUCUCAUUUCACAAAAUCGCCCUCAACCUCGCAUCUCUCUCACGCUCUCAACCUCAGUCGUCGUCCCCAACCUUCACUCUCUCCAUCCCUCAAACGCUCCUCACCUCACGUUUCUCUCACCCUCAAUCAUUCAUCCUCUCUCACGACCUCAAACCCAAAG